AUGCAGUUUCCGCCUCUUCUCACUAUACAAAAAUAUGAUUAUUAUAUUAACAACAUACAUCAAAUUCAUUGGCAGGGAUUAACAAUCAAGAUUUCCCAAUAUGUCCUAACUAUGAGCAUAAGAGAGCUACUGGCAUCGCUCCUACUGUCAGAAGAUGAAGAGUUUGGACAUUUAAAAGAUGGAGAACUGAUUGACACUGACCUGGAUUUUUCAGCAAUUUUCCUUAAGUUGUUGAUUGUCCUUGGUUAA